CGCGUGCCUCAAAUCGACCGGCUGGGUCUUCUGUCCCCUAAGCGUUGUGGAAACUAUUCGCUAAAGGGUGUUCGGGAGGUACGCCGUAAAACAACCCCAUUCUAAGGUGACCUCGAUCAGAGAGGUCGCGCAAC
rnacentral:rRNA from 1 species